AAAUAGUAUUUCAAUCCAUGUAUUUGUGUAUUUAAGUGCGCUUGAAUGUUGCAGUCUGUUAGUGUGUGAUUCUUGUUAUCGUUAUUGGCCACUAGUGAAGAGGUGGGGUCCCUGGCUUUCGUGGACCCGUCUGGCGUUGCUCCUUGUGCCCCUAACCUAACCUUGCCCUCCCUGGUAACACUGCAAGGAAGAUACACCACUGGCAACACUGACAGACGACCCAGCCAACCAGGGACCCCACACGUACACUAGUGGCUGUUAUUGAUGUGUGUGCGUGUGUGUGUGGGCAAUAAGUCAGCUGUUAGCACGUCUUUAAAACAACGCGGUUUUAUUAUAGUUUAAGCCAUUACACACUACGUGAAUUAAGAAAAUUGAAGCCUUCUCUCAGACAUGAACAAAGAAGAGCAAUUCUUGACAAAGAGGCAAACAAACAAACAAGGACAGCGUUGAGUCUCGCAGGUCACGCCAGCCUCUCGGAAACUGUUGCUUGCUUCACCUGGCAAUUGUGAACCACCAAGCAAAAACCGAGCCACCCUAUUGAUCGACAGGGGAUCACCAUCAGCCCUCCCAUUGGCCCAGAGCUUCGUGGAUUGUGAUUGGACGGCUGGCUGGCUGACUUGACUUGACCUGACCUCAACUGAGCCAACAUGAUUUACAUUUUCCUCGUUGACACUGGCACCAUGAUGACCUUUGACAUGAACCUGGCACUAGAGAGUGUUGAAGUGGUGAAGGGUGCAAUACACAAUGUUGUCAAGGUGCCCCCAGACAAGCAGGUGCUGCUGGCCUCUGGGGGUAAAACACUGGACUCCUGCAAGCGGGUGUGUCAUUACUCGGCCGGCACAGACUCGUCCCCCGUCUUUCUGUUCUCCAAGGUGGCCAUUGAGGGAGCAGCCCCCCAACCCCCUCUGUGCAGCCUGGCAGGGACGGCGACCUCAGGGCUGGGCAGUAGUGUUGGGCAACUUGGAAGACGUUGUGGCAGCCUUCAGAGCAAGACAUGAUGCAUUCCAGCAAAACUUUGUAAUCUCAGUGGCCGGGAGGAGAAGGUCACCCUGCUUUACUUUUUUGAAGAGGACCUGAAGCUACUGGCAAGGAUUCCAGUCUUCCCUGAACUCUUGGGGAAGACACAAGAGGAAGAGGAGGUAGCUGAGAAGAAGAGGACAAGCACAGCACAGAAGAAAGAGGAGGAGGAAGAGAAGAAAGAGGAGGAGGAGGAGAAGGAAGAAGAGGAAGAGCAUGAGAAGGAGAAGAGGGCAGGAGGAGUUGGAAAAGGAGGAGGAGAAGGAGGAAAAAGAGAAAUGAGUUAAGUGUCACUGCUGGACUGGAUCAGCGCCAAGGACAGCCAAAGUGAUGUCAGACUUUGCCCAACUCUGCUGCAGAGGACUGGCCCAGGACACGUUCCCAUCACCUUCACGUCCUGGACACGUGCACAAACUUGUGCCUGGGCAGUCUCACUGCAGCAACUGCCAGUGCUGUGGCUGGGUGGCAGGAGGGAGGGACAAGCUGGCCACCCUCUCUGUCACCACCUGCUGGGGAAAGACCACCAUUAUCAUCACCUUUGUUUUCCUUUUUUUGUUUUCUUUCACAAUUUACAAGGAAUAUUAACAGUUUGUUUUGUUAGUGUUGUGUUUGUUAUUAAAUGAUGUGUUGUUGUUGUUUAUGUGUUAGUUGUUGUUGUGUUUUGUAUGUGUGACUGAUGAAUAAAGGCAGUCCACACUUA